rnacentral:misc_RNA from 1 species
GAUGAAGAACGAAGCGAAAUGCGAUAAGUAAUGUGAAUUGCAGAAUUCAGUGAAUCAUCGAAUCUUUGAACGCACAUUGCGCCCGCCAGUAUUCUGGCGGGCAUGCCUGUUCGAGCGUCAUUACAACCCUCAGGCCCCCGGGCCUGGCGUUGGGGAUCGGCGGAAGCCCCCUGCGGGCACAACGCCGUCCCCCAAAUACAGUGGCGGUCCCGCCGCAGCUUCCAUUGCGUAGUAGCUAACACCUCGCAACUGGAGAGCGGCGCGGCCACGCCGUAAAACACCCAACUUCUGAAUGUUGACCUCGAAUCAGGGAGGAAUACCCGCUGAACUUAAGCAUAUCAAUAAGCGGAGGA